GUUGUCAAUCUUCGCUCAUGUAUCUAAAAGAAAACCAGUCGACAAAAACUCCAAAAAUUUUUGCAAAAUUUUGUCCGUUACUAAAAUAUCUCCAAAAAAUUUUUAGGGGAUUUUUUUUUUUGAAAGGAAAGUAAACGUAAUGUGCGUAUUUUAAACGUUGUGAUGGAAACACUCAUAUUUCAACUUUAGCAGACGAUUUUUCAAAUAUUUCUUCAGCGGCCUCAUCCGUGAGUAUUAUUCAGUCAUAAACGAAGGUUAAUUUUUAGUGUUUUGAAUUAUGCGCCACCGAAAAAAAGUUUGGUCUUACUGAACUUUUUUCUCGGUGAUGGUAAACAAAAUAAUUUGGGAAGAAACUCACGUAAUUUGGCGGGUGGACUGUUGGGCGCAGAUGCAACUUGAGAUAUCACAGCACAACACAGGAAAAUGAUCGAAGACCUUACGGGGAGCAUGUUUGCAAGAGGGAGUUAACUGACACCACGCGUAAACAGGGACAACAGGGAUGAUCACUUGCGGGUCAAGCACGAGUCAGCGUCUCACCGGCUGGUGUAAGUCCGCUAUUAGCACGAUUAGCGAACACCGAACACUCACCGACUGCGACUGAAGACGUGCUCACUCAGAUACGGCGCGACCACGGCGAAGAUUGAUGAGUUAAAACAACAUUUUUCAAUGGCCUGAUGAUGGACGAUUUAAGUCGAGAAGAGCUGAUCACCAAAUGCAAGCAUUAUUUGUCUCUCGCUCAAAAAGCCAAGCAAGCCAAAGAUGAAGCACUGAAGAAAUUAGAUGAUCUAGAUGUAGAAUUGAAAAAUUUCAAAAUGCUGAUAAGGUCAGUAACUCCUUUUCUUCUCGUUUGAAUUCUAAAUUAAGUGCUUAAAAUACUAUACCAUUCAGCGUAACAUUUUGUCAACAGCUCGUCACCUCCAUUGAGUGGUUGCAAGAACUCAUGAUUAUUAUUUUCUCCAUUUAAGGCGCAUAAGUAUUACCUAUUAGGUCAAAGAUUAUCCACUUUCAAAUUGGUACGUACAAUAGACUCUAACGUAUUAUGUGUCACAAAGGCUGUCCCAAAAUAACUGAGAUUGAUUCUGC
rnacentral:lncRNA from 1 species